GUCCGAACAGCUCCAUCGGUAGAGCUUGAGACUCUUUAUCUCAGGGUUGUGGGUUUGAGUCUCAUGUUGGGCA